rnacentral:misc_RNA from 1 species
CCAAUAGCGUAUAUUAAAGUUGUUGCAGUUAAAAAGCUCGUAGUUGAAUUUCGGGAUUAGUACGCUGGUCGUGCCUUCGGUAUGUACUGGUGUUACUGGUUCCUACCUUCUGACGAACCGUCAUGUCAUUAAUUUGGUGUGGCGGGAAAUCAGGACUGUUACUUUGAAAAAAUUAGAGUGUUUAAAGCAGGCUCGCGCUUGAAUACAUUAGCAUGGAAUAAUGAAAUAGGACGUUCGAUCCUAUUUUGUUGGUUUCUAGGAUUGACGUAAUGAUUAAUAGGGAUAGUUGGGGGCAUUAGUAUUCAAUUGUCAGAGGUGAAAUUCUUGGAUUGAUUGAAGACUAACUACUGCGAAAGCAUUUGCCAAGGAUGUUUUCAUUAAUCAAGAACGAAAGUUAGGGGAUCGAAGACGAUCAGAUACCGUCGUAGUCUUAACCAGAAACUAUGCCGACUAGGGAUCGGAUGAUGUUAUUUUUAAUGACUCAUUCGGCGCCUUACG